GGGCUUGUGGUUUAGUGGUAUAAUACUCCCUUAGCAUCUCUAGAACAUCUAGAACAGUGAAUGGGAGUGGUCCAGGGUUCGAUUCCCUGCAAGUCCA
rnacentral:tRNA from 1 species